GACGAACCACACGAACGUUAUUCGGAAUUACUGGGCUUAAAGGGUGCGUAGGCGGCGCGGUAAGUAGGGUGUGAAAUCCCUCGGCUCAACCGAGGAACUGCGCUCUAAACUACCGUGCUCGAGGGAGAUAGAGGUGAGCGGAACUUAGGGUGGAACGGUGAAAUGUGUUGAUAUCCUAAGGAACACCGGUGGCGAAAGCGGCUCACUGGAUCUCUUCUGACGCUGAGGCACGGAAAGCUAGGGUAGCCGAACGGG
rnacentral:rRNA from 1 species